AGUCAAGUAAUUAAGUGCAUGUGGUGGAUGCCUUGGCAGUCAGAGGCGAUGAAAGACGUGAUAGCCUGCGAAAAGCUCCGGGGAGGCGGCAAAUAUCCUUUGAUCCGGAGAUGUCUGAAUGGGGGAACCCACCUACUUUAAGGUAGGUAUUGCAACAUGAAUACAUAGUGUUGCAAGGCGAACGAGGGGAAGUGAAACAUCUCAGUACCCUUAGGAAAAGAAAUCAAUUGAGAUUCCCUCAGUAGCGGCGAGCGAACGGGGAUCAGCCCAUUAAGUUAUGUGUGUUUUAGUGGAACGCUCUGGGAAGUGCGAACGUAGAGGGUGAUAUUCCCGUACACGAAAGGGCACACAUAAUGAUGACGAGUAGGGCGAGGCACGUGAAACCUUGUCUGAAUAUGGGGGGACCAUCCUCCAAGGCUAAAUACUCCUGACUGACCGAUAGUGAACCAGUACCGUGAGGGAAAGGCGAAAAGAACCCCUGUGAGGGGAGUGAAAUAGAUCCUGAAACCGCAUGCAUACAAGCAGUGGGAGCACCUUCGUGGUGUGACUGCGUACCUUUUGUAUAAUGGGUCAGCGACUUAUAUUCAGUAGCAAGGUUAACCGUAUAGGGGAGCCGUAGAGAAAUCGAGUCUUAAUAGGGCGUUUAGUUGCUGGGUAUAGACCCGAAACCAGGCGAUCUAUCCAUGAGCAGGUUGAAGGUUGGGUAACACUAACUGGAGGACCGAACCCACUGUCGUUGAAAAGCCAGGGGAUGACUUGUGGAUAGGGGUGAAAGGCUAAUCAAGCCUGGUGAUAGCUGGUUCUCCCCGAAAGCUAUUUAGGUAGCGCCUCGGACGAAUACCAUAGGGGGUAGAGCACUGUUUCGGCUAGGGGGUCAUCCCGACUUACCAAACCGAUGCAAACUCCGAAUACCUAUGAGUACUAUCCGGGAGACAGACUGCGGGUGCUAACGUCCGUAGUCAAGAGGAAAACAAUCCAGACCGCCAGCUAAGGCCCCAAAAUCAUAGUUAAGUGGGAAACGAUGUGGGAAGGCAUAGACAGCUAGGAGGUUGGCUUAGAAGCAGCCACCCUUUAAAGAAAGCGUAAUAGCUCACUAGUCGAGUCGGCCUGCGCGGAAGAUGUAACGGGGCUAAAACUAUGUGCCGAAGCUGCGGAUNNAUGCUGGAGGUAUCAGAAGUGCGAAUGCUGACGUGAGUAACGACAAAACGGGUGAAAAACCCGUUCGCCGAAAGACCAAGGGUUCCAGUCCAACGUUAAUCGGGGCUGGGUGAGUCGACCCCUAAGGCGAGGCCGAAAGGCGUAGUCGAUGGGAAAAUGGUUAAUAUUCCAUUACUUCUGUGUAAUGCGAUGAGAGGACGGAGAAGGCUAAAUCAGCCUGGCGUUGGUUGUCCAGGUGAAAGGAUGUAGGCAUGUAUCUUAGGCAAAUCCGGGGUACUCUAUGCUGAGAUCUGAUAGCAAGCUGUACUUGUACAGCGAAGUGGUUGAUGCCAUGCUUCCAGGAAAAGUCUCUAAGCUUCAGUUACACAGGAAUCGUACCCGAAACCGACACAGGUGGUCAGGUCGAGUAGACCAAGGCGCUUGAGAGAACUCUGCUGAAGGAACUAGGCAAAAUGGUACCGUAACUUCGGGAGAAGGUACGCUGUUGUUGGUGAUGGAACUCGCUUCCUGAGCUGACGACAGCCGCAGAAACCAGGCCGCUGCAACUGUUUAUUAAAAACAUAGCACUCUGCAAACACGAAAGUGGACGUAUAGGGUGUGAUGCCUGCCCGGUGCUGGAAGGUUAAUUGAUGGGGUUAGCGUAAGCGAAGCUCUUGAUCGAAGCCCCAGUAAACGGCGGCCGUAACUAUAACGGUCCUAAGGUAGCGAAAUUCCUUGUCGGGUAAGUUCCGACCUGCACGAAUGGCAUAAUGAUGGCGGCGCUGUCUCCAGCAGAGGCUCAGUGAAAUCGAAAUCGCUGUGAAGAUGCAGUGUACCCGCGGCUAGACGGAAAGACCCCGUGAACCUUUACUGCAGCUUGACACUGAACUUUGACCUUACUUGUGUAGGAUAGGUGGGAGGCUUUGAAGCUGGAACGCUAGUUCCAGUGGAGCCGUCCUUGAAAUACCACCCUGGUAAUGUUGAGGUUCUAACUCUGUCCCGUGAUCCGGGACGAGGACCGUGUCUGGUGGGUAGUUUGACUGGGGCGGUCUCCUCCUAAAGAGUAACGGAGGAGUACGAAGGUGCGCUCAGCGUGGUCGGAAAUCACGCGUAGAGUAUAAAGGCAAAAGCGCGCUUAACUGCGAGACCCACAAGUCGAGCAGGUACGAAAGUAGGUCUUAGUGAUCCGGUGGUUCUGUAUGGAAGGGCCAUCGCUCAACGGAUAAAAGGUACUCUGGGGAUAACAGGCUGAUACCGCCCAAGAGUUCAUAUCGACGGCGGUGUUUGGCACCUCGAUGUCGGCUCAUCUCAUCCUGGGGCUGAAGCAGGUCCCAAGGGUAUGGCUGUUCGCCAUUUAAAGAGGUACGCGAGCUGGGUUUAGAACGUCGUGAGACAGUUCGGUCCCUAUCUACCGUGGGCGCUGGAAAUUUGAGAGGAUCUGCUCCUAGUACGAGAGGACCAGAGUGGACGAACCUCUGGUGUACCGGUUGUGACGCCAGUCGCAUCGCCGGGUAGCUAUGUUCGGAAGGGAUAACCGCUGAAAGCAUCUAAGCGGGAAGCCUACCUCAAGAUAAGAUUUCCCUAGGACUUUAUGUCCUCUAAAGAGCCGUUCGAGACUAGGACGUUGAUAGGUUGGAUGUGGAAGCAUAGUGAUAUGUGAAGCUGACCAAUACUAAUUGCUCGUGAGGCUUGACUAU
rnacentral:rRNA from 1 species